AGUCCUCAAAUGGAGGGAAGCAAAUACGCAGGGGCCGCAGCCGCCUCCCUGCCGGGCGUGUGUCCGCGGCCCGGAGGGGCGGGCAGGAGGGCGAAUCCACACGCCACCCACUCCCCCGGCGACAGCGCGGAGUGCGAGGCAGGCGGCCGGGACGUGGGGCGCGCCGCCGGCCAGCGGCAGCCGGGCGUCGGGAGAGGGGCGCCUGGUCGAGGAGACGGGCGGCUGCCGGCUACGGGCUAAGGGGACAGUCUGGUCCCGGCGGCGGAAGAGGUCCGGACUAAGGGACGUGGGGAAGGAGACGAGCCCGCACCGCGCGUCACUAGCGAGAAGCCGCCGCCGCCGCCGCCACCAACACCGCCGCCGCCAUCUUCACUUCUGCCCCAGUUUCUCCGUCUGGCAGGCUCCGCUCCCGAGCGGCGGGGGAGGGGCGAACGGGAGGAGGAGGAGGAGGAGACCGGCGGGCGGGGGCGCGGCGGCGAGAGGCGGGGCUCCGGGAAACGGGCGGUAAGGCCCCCUGGAUUGGGCGGCUCAACGUCGUCGGGCCACGACGCUGUAAAGCGCGUGCCGAUUGGUCCGUUCGGCUCCCGAGCCCAGCCCCGCCGGGGGUGGGAUGGCUCCAGAGUGUUCCGGAGAGCACGUGUUAGGGAAGGAGGAGGCGGCGGGCGAGCCCGCCGGGAGGGCGAAUGCUGCUGCCUGUUUCCUAUUAGUGACAAACCACCUCCUUAUCACAUCCUGGUUCAAAGAAGAAUACUGCCCCUUCCACUUGCAAAGAUGAACAGUUCAAAGUUCCAGCUGGUUACUCCAUUCAGCUCAAAAAGUGAGCCCUGCA